rnacentral:rRNA from 1 species
UGGGGAAUAUUGGACAAUGGGGGCAACCCUGAUCCAGCCAUGCCGCGUGAGUGAAGAAGGCCUUAGGGUUGUAAAGCUCUUUCGCAGGGGAAGAUAAUGACGGUACCCUGAGAAGAAGCCUCGGCUAACUCCGUGCCAGCAGCCGCGGUAAGACGGAGGAGGCUAGCGUUGUUCGGAAUUACUGGGCGUAAAGCGUACGCAGGUGGUUAUUCAAGUCAGAUGUGAAAGCCCGGGGCUCAACCUCGGAAUUGCGUCUGAGACUGGAUAGCUAGAGGCCGGAAGAGGAGAGCGGAAUUCCCAGUGUAGAGGUGAAAUUCGUAGAUAUUGGGAAGAACACCAGUGGCGAAGGCGGCUCUCUGGUCCGGAACUGACACUCAAGUACGAAAGCGUGGGGAGCAAA